GCUCUCCACCACCCAGGGGGCCUAGAGGGAGACGAUUGGAUUCUUCUGUUCUCAUCCAGGACCAGAUCCCAUCCUUGCUUCUAGCUUCCUGUGUCCUCACCUUGCCUGCCAGCACACCUUCUGGUCCAAUCACUUGGUCGAAGAUAUGCUUCGCCACAUGAGAGUCCACAGCCGACAGUGGGUCAUCCAGCAAAAAAAUGUUGGCAUCACUAUAAACAGCUCGGGCCAAACUCACCCGUUGGCGCUGGCCUCCAGAUAGGUUAAUACCCUACAGAGAAGAGAACGUGGGAGACAGAGCCUACUUAUCAUCACGCAGCAAGGCACACACCUGUAUCUGUUGUUCACGGGGCACUCGGUCUCCACAAAUUUGUAGCCUAUACAAAGCUGUAGCCCUCAGAGGAACUGGUGUUGGCCCUUAGAAUCCUCUGGGGCAGAUGAGCCCAGACAGCACCCUGCCCAGCUGGCUUCCCUGCCCAAUGCCAGUGUUCAUGACAGAUGAAUGGGCAAACAACAGGUGGUCUACCCAUAGACUAGAAUAUUAUUUAGCCCUAGAAGGAAAGAAAUGCUGGCACAUGCUACAGCAGGGAUAAACUCUGAGACCAUUAUACCAACUGGAAUGAACCAGACACAGAAAGGCAAACACAACGCAACUGCCCUCUCAGUGGUGUCUUAGGGGAGCCAGAUUCUGAAAAACAAAGGGAUAGUUGCCAGAGGUCUGGAGAAGAAGGAGGGAUUGAGAGCUGUCCAAUAAACAGUGACAAGGCAA